rnacentral:sRNA from 1 species
AACCAGUCGCGUGCGCCGCGUGCCGCGCCGUCGUAGAUC